UACGGAGGGUGCAAGCGUUAUCCGGAUUUACUGGGUUUAAAGGGUGCGUAGGUGGGUAAGUAAGUCAGUGGUGAAAUCUUCGAGCUUAACUCGGAAACUGCCAUUGAUACUAUUUGUCUUGAAUACUUUGGAGGUAAGCGGAAUAUGUCAUGUAGCGGUGAAAUGCUUAGAUAUGACAUAGAACACCAAUUGCGAAGGCAGCUUACUACACAGUUAUUGACACUGAGGCACGAAAGCGUGGGGAUCAAACAGG
rnacentral:rRNA from 1 species